rnacentral:rRNA from 1 species
GGACUACACGGGUUUCUAAUCCUGUUUGCUCCCCACGCUUUCGUGUCUCAGCGUCAGUACUCGUCCAGUUGGCCGCCUUCGCCACCGGUGUUCCUCUCGAUAUCUACGAAUUUCACCUCUACACCGAGAAUUCCACCAACCUCUCCGGUACUCGAGCCCAACAGUAUCGGGUGCACUUCCCGGGUUGAGCCCGGGGCUUUCACAUCCGACUUGCAAGGCCGCCUACACACGCUUUACGCCCAGUAAUUCCGAACAACGUUUGCACCCUCUGUCUUACCGCGGCUGCUGGCAC